GUAUGGUGGCCGAGCAGGUGGCGGGCCGUAAACCCGCCUACGGGGCCGAUGCCCCCCCUUCCA
rnacentral:tRNA from 1 species